GCCUGCACUGAUUUCCUGGUUGGAAGGAGGAACCUUGGAGAGGCUACAGAGAGGCAUGUUUGCCGAUGUCCCUGGGAUGAUCCAAGAGUGAUGACUACGUUUCAUGUGAUGACUGAGGAAUUUCUGACUGGAGAACGCGAGAGAGCAGAAAGAACAUGGAUGGAAGUCUGGCUUUGGUUCUGCUGAAAGAGGAAGGUUUGGGUCAGAGUAGAUGUUGACAAGGUUGUCUGAAACAAAGCUCUAUCUCCUGCUAACGUCUU